UACGUAGGGGGCUAGCGUUGUCCGGAAUCAUUGGGCGUAAAGCGCGUGUAGGCGGUCCGGUAAGUCCGCUGUGAAAGUCGGGGGCUCAACCCUCGGAUGCCGGUGGAUACUGUCGGGCUUGAGUACGGAAGAGGAGAAUGGAAUUCCCGGUGUAGCGGUGAAAUGCGCAGAUAUCGGGAAGAACACCCGUGGCGAAGGCGGUUCUCUGGGACGGUACUGACGCUGAGACGCGAAAGCGUGGGGAGCGAACAGG
rnacentral:rRNA from 1 species